GACGAACGCUGGCGGCGUGCUUAACACAUGCAAGUCGAACGGUGAAGGGAUCAGCUUGCUGGUUCUGGCUGAGUGGCGAACGGGUGAGUAACACGUUAGUAACCUGCCCCCUUCUUCUGGAUAACCGCAUGAAAGUGUGGCUAAUACGGGAUAUUCGGGGUCUGUCGCAUGAUGGGUCUGGGAAAGAUAUUGUUUCGGUGGGGGAUGGGCUCGCGGCCUAUCAGCUUGCUGGUGGGGUGAUGGCGUACCAAGGCGGGGACGGGUAGCCGGCCUGAGCGGGGGGAUGGUCACUAUAGGACUGAGACAGGACCCCGAGGACUACGGCAGGCAGCAGUGGGGAAUAUUGCGCAAUGGGCGCGAGUCUGAUGCAGCGACGGCGCGUGAGGGAUGGCGGUCUUCGGGUUGUAAUCCUCUUUCGCCGGUGAAGCAGGCCUGCUGCCUGUGGGUGUGUUGACGGUAGCUGGAUAAGAAGCGCCGGCUAACUACGUG
rnacentral:rRNA from 1 species